AAUGGAUGAAAUAUGAAGUUUUAUUAAAAGAAAAAGGGGUGAAAAGAACAAAGUUUUGUCCAUCUUUGUUCAUCAUAGCUGAAAGUUAGAGAAGAGAAAGGAGAGGAGAAAGCUCUUGAGUAUUCGGUCAUUAGGAGGAGGAAAAUUGAAGGCGGUUCGUGUGUGGAUCUCGUCAGCAUAUCAUCGCAAAUGUGUGUGUAACUAACACCCUAUUUCUUAGUCUAGAUCGGCAAAAGUCGAAAUGCCAAAAUCGGUAUUUUCUAGAUUUAUGAAAAGUGCGAAUGCUCGUGAGGUAAAUCGAUUAAUGUUUUUGGUAAGCUGCAAAAUUUGGACUGCAAAGUGCAUGAUUUACGUGCCUCGAUAUUUUUGGGCUUAAUGGGCCAAAAUUGGAAUGAUGGGCCAACAGCCCAAUUCAGUAAGAACCCUCGAUGCGUGAUUCUGUUAGUACGUGAAAGGUAGGAAUAUGCAUGAAAAACCCUAAAAUAGAUAAAUUACUGAAAUACCUUUAAAAUAGAAAAUUUACGCUUUACCCCUAGGAGAUAAAUUACCAAAUACCCCUAGGGUUAAAUUGACCUAAAUGCAUGUUUGAUUGUUGUUAUUUAUCGCAUGCCAUGUUGUUAUUAUCUCGAUGCAUGGGACCGGGAUAUUGACGGAGGAAGUACUGAAAGUGGCUUGUCCACGUCUUGGAGGCUUUGCCUCAAUUUAUCGUUAACUGAGAAAGCAAAGAAGGUCAAAUCGUGGAGUGUUAAUGGGUGGGUUGAGCUAUUCCCCACAUGGAGUGUAUGGUGGUACGGGUGGAGUGUAAUGGUUGGUGGGUUGAGUAGUCUCCCAAAUGGGCUUGCAUAUUUUAUUGAUGUUGCAUGUAUUUUGAAAUGGGCCUAUGGGCCAUAUCAUUAUCUGAAUAAGGGCUAAGGCCCGCUUUAUUGUAAUCUGAAAGGGCUCGCCCAAGACCACUGUUACCCAAAUGGGCUUGCAUAUGUUUACUGAUGUUGCAUGUAUUUUGAAAUGGGCCUAUGGGCCAUACUGUUGUCUGAAUAAGGGCUAAGGCUCGGUUUAUUGUAAUCUGAAAGGGCUCGCCCAAGACCAUCUGUUACUGAAUGGGCUUAGGCCCAAUGGGCUUCAGUGACUUGGGCUUUGAAUGGGUUUUCCUUACACACGAGUUUCCCCAAACUCAUCCCUUUAUUUUCAUCCACGCAGAAAUCCCCAACCAUAGUGGGCUUAGAGUCGUGAGGGAAUUCGGAGUGGCCACCGCUCGAAAGUUUGAUUUUCUUCCGUGAACUGGACAUCCUUUUAAUUACGUUUGAGGUUUUGGGCUUUUAAAUGUAAUAAGGCCGCUCAUUUAUUUUUGAUGGUUUUAUAUGUUUUAUUAAGAUAGAUAAUAUUUAUUUUAACUGUUGAAAUUGGAUAACUUUAGGGCGCGUUUUCAAAAACAACAGUUGAUUUCAAAAUAACACGACAACAAGCAAAGCUUCCUCAAUGAAAGUAUUUUCCAAAAUUAAUCACUUUUCCUAAAAUGACUUAAUCAAAUCGGUUUCCUAGAAAUAUCCAUGACGUUAAGGUGUGGCAAUGGCGGUAUGCAUGUCUAGGAUUGGAUCCGAAGGAGCUUGGUACUUAAGCGGUCAGAUGGACUCACCACCUCUUUUCCGGUUUCCUACCGGUGCAUGUCCAUUCACUUUAACCCUUAAUGAAUUAAUCUUUUGAACAUCAAGUACGAUUUUCUGGACUUAGAAUGGAAAUUUUUUUUUUUUACGCUUUGAUGUGGCAUGCCGGAUCCGGCCAUAACUUCUGGGCCGGGUUUGGGGUGCUACAUUUCACUAAUCUCGUUAUCUAUAUGACACAACUUUCUAUUAAGUCAUAUAUAAAUUGCUGACAUGAUAUUUUAUUAGGUUAAAAAUAAACAAAUAAAUUUAAAUUAUUUCCACCUAGAUUUAAAAAAAUGCACUUGGGAAAAUAAUUUCAUUUGUGUUAAAAUGUAUUGUAUUUUAAAUUUAGGUGAGUAUUUGCAACACUGGUUGUAUACUUAUUUUUAAUAUUCUUUUAAAAAAAUUCAACUACUAGUCCUAUACUAUGCAUAUAGUUGCAGAUUUAGCUCAUAUUCUCUAAUUGGAUCAUUCUAAGUCUUUAUUCUUUUAAAAAUUUGAAAUUUCGGUCUUAACGCAAAUGACAGUUGUUAAUCCAUUAAAUAGAUUUUUUGUGAGUAAUAUGUGGAAAUAACAAACUGACAUGGCAUUACACAAAUAAUAAUAUGUUUGCCACAUUAGAUUUUGGAAAUAACAAAACUUAAUUUAAUGAAUUUAACAGAUAUUGUUUGGUGAGGACUGAAAUUUAAAAAUUUAAAAAGUAUAAGACUAAAAAUGACCAAAUUAAAGUACAGGGAUUAAAUUUACAACUUUCGAAAAAUACAGAAUUAAUAGAAAAAUUUAACCCUACUUUAAAAAUAUAUAUAUACAAGUUACACGUGCAUGGUAAUUGGAUUAAUCUUAAUUCAAGCUCAGGUUUUUUGUUUUUUUUUAUCUUGUUUGGCCUUCAAUUGGCUCGUUUCUUACUCCCAAAAGUUCACCUAAAACCCAAAUACCUUAAAUAACUCAUCUAAACUAGCCUCAAACACUUGGGAUCUUGUAAAAAGUGAAGUGGACACCAAACGACUGCAUUUCGAUAUUCGUUUUAUUCUUUUGUUAAUAUAUCAAAUCCCAUGAGAAAGGGAUGUUCACUGUCCUCUUGUCAGUAAUUUGGGGUAUGAUAAAGCUUAAUCCACCAAAUGGCUCAAUAUGGAGCCUCAGAUGGAUUUUCACUUGCUCAUCAUCAUCAAACUAAGACUGCAUAACAACUGUUAUUGAGUAUAUGGUUGGAACCUGCUGCAAGCAAAGAGAAAAAGCAUGACCAUGACUAAAGGAUUGCCAGAGCACUUGUUGCAUAAAUAUCAUUUGCAAGAAUAUGCUCAAAAAUAAGGGUUAGAUCUUCCUGUGUAUGAUAGCAGCAGUGAAGGGUUUCCACAUGCCCCGAGGUUCAAGGCCAGCGCUCGUGUCAAUCAAACCACUUACACUUGUCACUUAACUUUCCCACACCGGAAACAAGCUGAACAAAAUGUUUUGCUAAAAUUGCUCUUCAAGCCAUCAAGCAAGCUAGUGCAAUCAAGGAUAAAGAUUAUAAACAACUCACGAUUUCUACUAUUUACCAGGAUCUAAAAUGUUGCAAAUCAAUUCAUAACGAGUAUGCUCUUAGAAUGAAUCACGUAAGUCCUACAUACACAACUACCCAACAGGAUAAAUUCCGCCCUGUUUAUGUAUCUUCAUUGGUUUUUGAUGGUAAAACUUAUCGUGGCGAAGUUGCCGGAAGCAAGAAAGAAGCAGAACAGUUAGUUGCACGGAUUGCCAUCGAGUCUCUUCUUGGUACUUUUUCAAGAGCUAGUUUUCACAUGUAGCUUUGAGCUUUGUCCUUGUAUAUUCGUGUGUGUGGUGCAGGAUCCGAUUCAGGCAUUCUUCUUCAGAUCAUCAAUUCCAAAAGCAAAGCUCAUAACGGUAGGAAUACAAUUAAUGGUCACAGCAGCAAAAUGAUUAACACUCAAAGGCCAGGGUUCAAGUGUUAAUGCUAACAACCACAACAAGCGAAAACUAGAGGGUGAUGAGUGUAAUCAGAAACAAAUGCCAAGGCGUCAGCAGUAGGUUUCAGUUUCACCAAGUGGUAGACCUUUAUGCAAGUUUCUGAAGCUGUUUUCUUAUCGCCAUGUACUGUGACAUAUGGCUGUUACUUAACAAGGAAACGGUAGAUUUUACAGUAGAAACAUGGAAGCCACUGAGGCAUAUUGAUGAAAGAGUUUUGUGUUAUCUUGACCAGCCUGUUGUUUGGUUAUGGAGCCAAAUUGAAGAAGCAACUCUUCAAUCAUGGAAUUCAGGGCAUUUCACCCUGAAUUUGAGUUAUUAUUUCUAGUUUUCUUCAUGCAAACAAGUAAAAACUGUAUGCAUGCUUCAUUAUAGAAUGAAGGGCUGUAAAUCAUUUAAGCAUUAAUACGAGAGUUUGGUAAAAUACCUAUGGAUGAAA